GGAGAUUUCAAGAAAUGGAGAGAUUUUUUUGUUGUUCUAAUUGGAUGGCUUAAAAAAAAAGUGGGAAGCCACAUGGCUCUCAGCGGUUCUCACACGCACAGUGGGAGAAUAGCUGGGAGAAUAGCUUCUGAGUCCUGGAAGUCAGUCAGCUGGAGGGACAUACUCAGCUGAAAUCACUAAGAAGGAAAAGAAGAACCAGGUUGGAUUAAGCCCCAGACCUGUGCUGUAAUCAGAACCACCCAGCAAUCCAGAAGCUGACAAGAAAGCACAGAGGCCUCUGAGUAGAGUCCCGUAUGGAGUCAGUACAGAACUCCAAGGCCCACUAGAAAAUUGUGUGUGAAGAAGAUGACAACUGUGGAAUCCUGGCACCUAUCCACUUUCCUACUUUUUAUUCAUUUGGAAUAGGCAGAAACACACCAAUGCUACUGACAGCCCAUGUACUGACUGUGGAAACCUUAGCCUGAUGCUGGGUGACACGGAAGGAAGAAUGGCUUAAGGAAGCAGAUUGACCGGCUCUGGCUGCCUACCACUAACAAUCUGUGAACAUGGCUGGCAGGCAUCCUGUGGUCGAAGCCUCUCAAGGGAUUAUUUGCGGAUCCAAGGGAAGAAAAGGAGGGAAUCCCAAAGAUGCUGCACAACCAAUAAGCAGCUCUUCACCCAGUCAUAAAACCUCUUGCCUGACAUGUUUUGCACUUAAGAGAACUCUUUAUUUAGAGGCAAUUCUACUGUAUAGUAUGAUAUUUUUCUUUGGGAAUCAAUCCUGCACUGAGAUUAAAUAAAGAACUGACCACUAGCUAUGCAGCA